UACAUCCUAGGGGGGCAGCAGUGAGGAAUAUUGGUCAAUGGUCAGGAGACUGAACCAGCCAAGCCGCGUGAGGGAUGAAGGUACAGAGUAUCGUAAACCUCUUUUGUCAGGGAACAAAGGCGGGGACGCGUCCCCGGAUGAGUGUACCUGAAGAAAAAGCAUCGGCUAACUCCGUGCCAGCAGCCGCGGUAAUACGGAGGAUGCGAGCGUUAUCCGGAUUUAUUGGGUUUAAAGGGUGCGCAGGCGGUCUGUUAAGUCAGCGG
rnacentral:rRNA from 1 species